GCAAAAAAAAAAAAAAAAAGUUGGCCCUGCAUGUUGGACAGUCCAAGUCCUGGUGGUAAAAAGCAGCGGGAUUCAGACAUACAGUAGAUGAGAGCAAACCAAGGUCCGUACUUAUGGCUGUGGAAAAGGCUGCAAAGAUACCAGACAUCAGAUGUAGAGAGGACCGCGAGAGACUCUACUCAAGGACUCUUAAGUUGUUGUGGGAAGCUAAGCUGCUGUUGAAAGAAAUGGAGAACGUGUUGCAACAGUGGGCACCAGCCAGACCAUCUCACCCAAGAAGCAGCACACUGGUUCAUGAGGAGGUUCUGGCCUGCAUUGACGAGGGUGAGACCUUGGUCAUCGACGGAUUCAGGUUUGAGAGUGCGACCAGCAGGGAGGACUUGAUAAAUGACUGUCGCCAUGGUGAUGCAUGAUUGAUGUCUACCUCAGUCAUUUCGCCACAGGAAGUCAGUAAGGUCAAACAUUCUGAAGGAGUUAGGCUGGCAGACGGAGAGCCUACAAAUGACAUGUUGAAGCGGUGCGAAGAAGGCUAAUGACUGGCAUCUGUAUGACACCAUAGUGUUUGGUAAUCCUUUCAGAAGACAAUUUAUAGGUAACUGCUAAUUGAUUCUUACUUAACAAAUUAAUAGAAUCGUUUAUAUGAAAUAUUUAGUUUUUUUUCAAUUGCUGUAUUAGUCAUAAAUUAGAUUUUUUAUUGGCGAUUCUUAUUAUAGUGUCGUGUAAAAAGUUGUGACUUUGUUCAAGGUUGUCCAGCACACAUUAUUAUAGAAAUAAAUGCCACGUUUAUGUUUUGUAACAUCUUUUAUUAUUUUAUGGGUCUUUUACACCUUUAAGUGACCAUAUACAACAGUUAUCAACAGACUGUUAAGUGCGCUCACA